UAUAUAACAGACUAUGUAGACCCCUACCCUGGCUGAGUGGAACAGGGAGGUUAUAACAGAUAUAUAACAGACUAUGUAGACCCCUACCCUGGCUGAGUGGAACAGGGAGGUUAUAACAGAUAUAUAACAGACUAUGUAGACCCCUACCCUGGCUGAGUGGAGCUGGGAGGUUAUAACAGAUAUAUAACAGACUAUGUAGACCCCUACCCUGGCUGAGUGGAACAGGGAGGUUAUAACAGAUAUAUAACAGACUAUGUAGACCCCUACCCUGGCUGAGUGGAACAGGGAGGUUAUAACAGAUAUAUAACAGACUAUGUAGACCCCUACCCUGGCUGAGUGGAACAGGGAGGUUAUAACAGAUAUAUAACAGACUAUGUAGACCCCUACCCUGGCUGAGUGGAGCUGGGAGGUUAUAACAGAUAUAUAACAGACUAUGUAGACCCCUACCCUGGCUGAGUGGAGCUGGGAGGUUAUAACAGAUAUAUAACAGACUAUGUAGACCCCUACCCUGGCUGAGUGGAGCUGGGA